UCCAUGGAAUCGGAAGGAGCAGAGCUCGCAAGAUUCUCUGCGAUAUAAGCAUGGACAACAAGGUCACUAAGGAUCUCAGCGAAGAGGAUCUCAUCACUCUUAGAGAUGAAGUCUCCAAAUACGUCAUUGAAGGCGAUUUGGUUAGAGUAUUUUUAUAGAAUACGGAUUGAAUCAAGAUGAAGAAGCAAGAACAGAGUUGAGAGCAGUAGAUGCGUGGAUACUGACUGACAAGCCUUACUCUCAUCAAUCCAUUCAUUCGGGUUCAUGGAAAAGGAUGCUGGGAACAAAUUUUUUUUGGUCUGAUUUGUCAGAUUCAUUUAAAGAUCGGUGGUAGUUCUCAAGAGGAAAUCAGCCUAGGCUUCAUGUCACUCUGCCGCUCUCUUAUCUUGGGAAACAACAAGUUAGGUGGGAAUUUUUACGGCGGCCCUGUCCUUUCUCUGUCCCCUUCCAUCAUGUGACGUGUUUCACUGUUCAGUCCGAAUUUCCUGUGAUGUAGCUGUUCUUAUGGAACUGAUUCACAAGUGAAGGUGUUUUUCUCCUUUGAGAAGGAAGCUAAAUUCACUGAUGUUAAGGCUUUGGUAUUCUUGGUAGUUGCUAAUGGUUUGGCUGCUGGAUACUCUUUGAUUCAAGGACUCCGUUGUGUUGUGAGUUUGGUUAGGGGAA